GGAUUAGAUACCCUGGUAGUCCCGGCAGUAAACGAUGCGAGCUUGAUGUGGGAGGAUUCCGACCCCUUCCGUGUCGAAGCUAACGUGAUAAGCUCGCCGCCUGGGGAGUACGGCCGCAAGGCUAAAACUCAAAGAAAUUGACGGGGGCCCGCACAAGCGGUGGAGUAUGUGGCUUAAUUCGAUGCAACGCGAAGAACCUUACCUGGGCUUGACAUGAGUCUCUAAGGAUGUGAAAGCAUUCGAGUUUCGGUUUACCGGAACAAUUCGCACAGGUGCUGCAUGGCUGUCGUCAGCUCGUGUCG
rnacentral:rRNA from 1 species